rnacentral:rRNA from 1 species
GACGUGGGGGGCCAGCGUUGUUCGGAAUUACUGGGUGUAAAGGGUUCGUAGGCGGUGUGGCAAGUCGGGAGUGAAAUCUCUAGGCUCAACCUAGAGUCUGCUUCCGAAACUGCUGUGCUUGAGUGUGGGAGAGGCGCGUGGAAUUGCAGGUGUAGCGGUGAAAUGCGUAGAUAUCUGCAGGAACACCCGUGGCGAAGGCGGCUGGCUGGAUCGCAACUGACGCUGAGGAACGAAAGCUAGGGGAGCAAACAGG